GCCUCUGUGGCGAAGCGGAUUAACGCGUUGGACUUCUAAUCCAAAGAUCGUGGGUUCGAUCCCCACCAGAGGUG
rnacentral:tRNA from 1 species